GGGCCGUGGGAGAUGACCACGUCGAUAGGCCGUAGGUGGAAGUGCAGCGAUGCAUGCAGCCGAGCGGUACUAAUUGCCCGUAAGCUUGCGCAG
rnacentral:rRNA from 1 species